GCCUCAGGCUGCUUCCUGCACACAGGGAUGCAGAGGUGCAGUCGAGAUCCCAUCCUGGAGCGCCCCCUUCUGUUGCAGCCUGGGAGCACAGGAGACGCUUGGGGACAGGACCUGGUGUCUGCAGCCCACACCACAGCUGCUGGUCCCCUCCAGGCCAGCCCAGGGCUAUGACUCUUGUCUCC